UGGAGUGACCAGGUGAGGUUCUCCGCUAGAUGAACACCAAGAAAUUUGGUGCUCUUGACGAUCUCCACAGAUGAUCCGUCGAUGUUCAGCGGAGAGUAGUCACUCCGUGCUCUCCUGAAGUCCACAACCAUCUCUUUAGUUUUAUCCACAUUCAGAGAAAGGUUGUUGGCUCUACACCAGGCAGUUAGUUGUUGCACCUCCUCCCUGUAUGCUGACUCGUCGUUCUUGUUGAUGAGACCCACCACGGUCGUGUCAUCGUUGUUCUUACUGUACUGACAUUCAGAGAGAGUUUGUUGUCAUCACCAUGUUGACAGUGCUCUGAAUUCCUUUCAGUAGAAUGACUCUUCACUGUUGGUUAUAAGUCACUGGAUGGGGGUAUCAUCAUCAGUUAAUCACUGGUGAUACACCCACCCAUAAUUAAACUAUGCAACCUAUACCCAAACACACUGGUUAGCAUUGCUUGUAUAAAUAAAAACAACAACAACUAAACAGUGCAUUACUUAAUUAGUUCACUGCUUAUCUACUCAAAGAAACUAAAACAAUAAGGAAGGAAACUGUAAGAAUAAUUGUUCAUUAGGGAGUUUUCUUGCUAAACCUGUUGUAAAAGGAUCAGGUAAACAGCAGAGUGCUUUAAAAAUGAACUAUUCACCAUGUAGCGUGCAAAGUGAGCCUGGAAGGGUUGGAUAGCUCCAGACGUAAUUUCAUUAGAACUAGCACAGGUACACAAAGUUGAAAUGGAGAUUCUGUCUUAUAUUAAACGUGUUAGUCGUCUGCUGUGCACGCUCCCUGGUUUGGGAAAUCGUUUUCAUAUGCAAAUACACAGUGCAGUAGGGCUGUAUUUAAAGGUGAGAUAAGCACAGUAAGGAUUUCUUACAGAUAUCAUGCACAUCUUCAACCCAUGGCAAUAUAUAAUAAUAUAGCAUACAUCCUGUAAAGACAUUUUGAUUUUGUGACAUCGAUUUUAGGAUUUAAGCUCAUGGUUUCCUCACGUGUGUAGACACAAAGAACCGACAGGGUGUAACAUAAAUACACAAAUAGCAUGCAAAAUAAUAUGAUGUGCUGGAUCAAGUGCUAUUUUACUGUACAUGCUGCUGAAUAAGUAGUGUAGGCUGUUACUGGUAAAAAAAUAUGCAGUGAUAUUUGCAGUUAAUUGAAAUCAGAUCUUUUAGAUAUAAUGUAAAACCUUUGCUUUUGUGUAACGUUAUGUUACAUUUGAUUCCAUGUUCAAUCAGGUGAUGCUUUUUUUGAAAAUUCAUUGAAAAUUUCAACCAUUUCUACUUGAAAAAACAAACUUCUAAAUAAACUUCUAAUAAACACAAAUCUUUAGAAUGUAGGCUUAAUCAGGGUUAAGUCUAUUUAGUUCUAGGCUGUAACAAAAAGGGUGUAAAUACUUCAAGGCGUGUCUCAGUCCAUGUUUUCUUUGUGUCUGUGUUUUUUUGCUUCCACUUCUCAAGAACAUGUUAUUAGUCAAGUCAUGUCAAGAGUGUUGUGGAAGUUUGAGUUUUGAGAGAUUUAAAGUAUGAAGUAUCACACUGGUAGGCACGGGCAAGAUUAAAAUUCUUUCACAGUUUAUUGUGUUCUGAUGCGGAGCAGGACCCCACGCUCCUCAUGUAGCAUGAGAGAGGAAGGGCCCCGAUCAUUGAUUACAUCAAGAUUUUAUAGACAGGAUUCAAACAGGAUUCACCUGCUGAUCAAGCUAAUCUUGUCUUACCAAGGUCUACUAGAAGCUGUUUAUGAGCCUAAGUCCCGCCAUCUCCAGUCCCCUCUGUCCUUCUAAGAAAACAACCCCUGGCAAUGACAAUUUCUAGUCACAAUAACUACCAGUCAUGAGCAUAGAAGGACAAGGCCUUAUAAACAUAUCUGAAGUAAACAUUUUCACCACAAGAUUCAAUAAGCUUAUAUUGUCAUUUACACCAUAUAUAGCUGUUGCAGUACACAGUGAAAUCAGACGUUUCUCCAGGAUCAUGGUGCUACAUAAAACAAAGACAGAUCUAAGGACUUAAGUAAGUUUAUCCUAGCCACAGCAAGUACAUCUGUGCCUCCUGUUAGCAAACAGUGCUAACAGAAAAUGACCAUUUUCUCCGUUAUAUUUGAUCACUAUCUUCAUGGAUGGCACACAAAUACUGACUUCUCAUGGGAAAAACACAAUAAACAGCACCAGCACCAACCAACAAAUUAGCACCUAAAUCCUUAAAGAAAUCACACACAUUUCAAUGUUUAACACCUUUCAGGGAGGGUUGAUUAUUAUUAUUAUUAUUAUUAUUAUUAUUAUUAUUAUUAUUAUUAUUAUUAUUAAAUAACCAGUAUGAAAGACCAGGGGCCCGUUGCACAAAUGUAGAAUUAAGACAUCCAGGAUAAAUGACUGAGCUGAGCUCAAUGAAUCCAAAACAAGUGCGUCCAGGCUUAAUUGGUUGCACAAAGACCAAGCCAGGAUGAGCAGACACGGAUUCAUCAAGCCAGGUGAAACCAAUCCUAGAUAUGUGCUCACUCAAACAGACCAGCCACCGAUCACAGAUUCACUGAUUCACCAUGGCAACUAGAGCGGCAUACUUUUCCCCGUCGGAGGCACAAAUCCUCAUGGAGGCAUACGAGGAGGUAAAAGACAUAAGAAGAAAGGCAACACCGCCACAGUGAUAAAGCAAAGAGAAAAAGUGUGGCAAAGUAUUGCAGACCGCCUGAAUGCGUAAGUAGUGCACAAUUACACACUCACCGCUCCGCUGAAACAUCACAAUUACAAUCCAAAUAGUUAAUUCACAUCUCCAAAAACGCAGUUGUACUCUGAUUAUGAAACAGGUGAAUUUUUAAUUGAAAUGGACUGCAGAUAUGAGUGAAAUUAUGUAAAGUAACUCCAUCACACUGUAUAAGGCUUUGAUAAAUUAUCAAAGCCUUACAUUAUUACUAUGCUCACUAGUACUAGUACACUAGUACUAGUGUUAAUCUUAGCCGUUGUACUCUGCUUCUUAUGUUGUCCACCGAUUUUUCUGUGUUCUCCUGCUUUUAUUAAUGUAAAGCUGCUUUGAAACAAUGAAACAACUGUGAACAGCACUAUAUAAAUAAAAUAAAAUUGAAUUGAAUAAAUAGAUGAGCUGAUAAUAAUAAUCACUUUAAUUUAUAUAGCGCCUUUUAAAGGACCCAAGGUCACUUGCUCACUGACUCCAAUGUGUGUUGAUUGAAUGUUCUUGUGUGAUAAAGAAAGUGUCUCUUUUCGUGUGGUGUGUGUGUGUGUGUGUGUGUGUGUGUGUGUGUGUGUGGUGUGUGUGUGUGUGAUGUAGAUUAAACAUGACCGGGCCAAAACGGACAUGGCAGAGUCAAAAUCAAAUACAAGGGCGCUGACUAAUACUUAACAAUGCACAAGCAUAUUUUGUACCCAGAAGGUGCCUGCUCACACAUUGUCUGUACUGUUUUAGGCCUAAAGAAUACCCACAGACAAGGCACGGGUGGUGGGUCAUCAAAAGCUGACCUCACCCCAACAGAGGACAUAGCCUUAGAGCUAAAUAAAGGCAGGCCCGUGUUGGAGGGGAUCCCUGAGAGGAAAGAGACAAGCAUAGGUCCCUCCCAAGAUGCCACCCGCUUCAUACAAGUGUCUGGCAGCACUGUGUUACUGUUAGAGCCACCAGCACAAGCACCAGACGAUGCUGAUCCAGUGAGUAGGCCAUCAAAGGCAUACUGUAGGCCUGGCAUGUCUUGUCUACUAGCUUCAAUAUGAAUCUGAUUAAAUGUGAUAGGGUGAAGCAGUGCAGCAGCAACAGCACAUGAUGGCGAUGAUGAUGAGACCAUCUCUCUGUAUUCCAGAAGGCAUGAAGUAUCAUGUCAAGCCUGUGAAAGUACUAUUCAGUCUACAAUGAUGAGGAGUCAUCAUUUGAGGAGUCAUCAGAAAAUCUCAUUUCUGUAACAGGACCCAGAUGCUGUACCCCCUAUUAAUAAACACUUUUUACAUCAUGGCUGUGUCAAGAAUAUCACUGUGUUUAUGAGGUAGUAAGGAUGAGAUAUUGUGUUGACAGGUGAAUUCUCUGGUGUUUUGCUGGGAGACAGGGGGUAUGGCUGCCAGCCUUUUCUCCUGACACCUUUCACAGACCACCGGGAAGCACAGCAGGCCUACAACCAUGCCCAUGCCAGGACUAGGGCCAGAAUUGAAAUGACCUUUGGCCUCCUGAACUCACGCUUUCAUUGCCUUCACAAAUUAAGGGUCAGCCCUGUGAGGGCAUGUGACAUUACUGUGGCUUGUGCUGUCCUCCACAAUGUGGCCUGCUUGAGGAAGGAGAGGCCCCCAGAGUGCCACCAGCCAUGGACUGGGACAAUCCGGCAAUCUUCCCUGAUGACGACCAAGGGACCUGCUGAAGGAACAAUAUGUGUUGAAUUAUUUUAGUUAGUAUGUGUGCUUUCAAAUUUGGUUAAAUAUGUCUAGAUAUAAUGUAUAUAUAUAUAUAUAUUUUUUUUUUUUUUAAAUUGAUUUGGCCUCUUAUGAUGUUUGUGCUGUAUACUGUGUGUAAUACAAGCUUGCAGGGAGGUUACUGCAUCCAUUCAUUUGUCUGUUCAGUUGAUGUGAAUGGAUUUGUCCUGCAUUUAUUUCAGUGUGCAGACAUGCGGGGUGUGUUUUAUAUACAGACUUCCGAAUGUGUAUUUAUCCUUUUGUUGUAUAAUAUGCUUUGAUUCUGUGCUUUCCAUCUUGUAGAGUCACUGUGUGACUUCAGUUUCGAAAGGAGCUGAUGGUUUACCUGCUUUGUUUUAUCCUUAUUCAAUAAAGGAACAUAAUGUUA